GGAGUGGGUGAGGCGAUCGCUCGGCCGAUUCGUCGUCUGUCUUCGCCACGGAGAUGCGGCGGGCACGGGAAUUCGAAAUCCAAAUUCCUGGUGCCUCCGCGUCUCCGUGGUGAGCGGAUUUAUUGGAUUAGCCGGGAGGAAAGUCCGAACUGGGCAGGGCACGGUGGUCGCUAACGGCGACCCGGCGCGAGCCGAGGGAAAGUGCCACAGAAAACAUACCGCCCCUGGCCAUCGGCCGGGGGUAAGGGUGAAAUGGUGCGGUAAGAGCGCACCGCGUCGCGGGUGACCGCGACGGCAGGGCAAACCCCACCGCCAGCAAGCCCAAAUAGGCAGCGAGAGGCGGCCCGUCUCGUUUGAGCUGCGGGUAGGGUGCUCGAGCGGUCGUGCAAACGGCCGCCCAGAUGAAUGAUCGCCGCCUUUCUCCCGCGAUUCGCGGGAGAGGGGUAACAGAAUUCGGCUUAUUCGCCCACUCCGCCU
rnacentral:RNase_P_RNA from 1 species